CGGCGCCCGCCCCCCGCUGCCCUGGGCCACCCCCACGCGCUGCGCACGCCCGGGGCGAAUGAGAAAAGCAAAGCUCAAGAGAGGAUGAGUGAUGGGCUCGAAGAUGCACAGUGAGUGACUGAACAAAGAUGAAAACCCAGGGCUGCUGGGUCCCUCGUUCAAUAUUGUCCAAAAUCACUGGAAAGGGAGGAAGCGGAUUUUAAAUUUGACUCUCAUUUGUGUGUGUAUGCAAGUCCUCUCUAAAAGGACUUAGGAGAAGCUAGGGAGAGUGUUUACCUACAGGGAGGAGACUGGACACCGGAAGGUUGUGGAAGGUUGUGGAAGGGUGUGGUAUGGCGUGGGAAGGACACUCUUUACUGGUACUCCUUUGUAUCUCUUGAAUGAAUUAAGGCAUGUAUUACCUCUUUAACAACCAAAUAAAAGUUGAUCCAGUUCUUUCCUUCCUGCAGCCUGUCUUCAGCAUUUUCUCUGGGUACUGGGAACUCAGGAAAGUGAGAGGAGACAAUGGAG
rnacentral:lncRNA from 1 species